rnacentral:rRNA from 1 species
GUCUUUUUGAGUUAUUUUUAAAGUCUGACCUGCCCACUGAAAGUAUUUAAAGGGCCGCAGUAUUCUAACUGUGCAAAGGUAGCAUAAUCAUUAGUCUUUUAAUUGGAGGCUGGUAUGAACGGUUGGACGAGGUAUAAGCUGUUUCAUAUAAAUUUAUAAUAGAAUUUUAUAUUUUAGUUAAAAAGCUAAAAUGAUAUUAAAAGACGAGAAGACCCUAUAAAUCUUUAUACUUUACUUUAUUUAAGUUUUGUGGAUUUAUUUUACUUUUAUAGUGAGGGGUAUUUUAUUGGGGUGAUAUUAAAAUUUAAUUAACUUUUAAUUGUUAUGAAAUCAUUGAUUUAUGGUUUAUUGAUCCGUUAUUGGCGAUUAUGAGAUUAAGUUACUUUAGGGAUAACAGCGUAAUUUUUUUGGAGAGUUCUUAUCGAUAAAAGAGUUUGCGACCUCGAUGUUGGAUUAAGAGAUAUUUUUAGGUGUAGCCGCUUAAAUGUAGAGUCUGUUCGACUUUUAAAUUCUU